rnacentral:rRNA from 1 species
UGGUGAGGUAACGGCUCACCAAGGCGACGAUCAGUAGCCGGCUUGAGAGAGUGAACGGCCACAUUGGGACUGAGACACGGCCCAAACUCCUACGGGAGGCAGCAGUGGGGAAUAUUGCACAAUGGGGGAAACCCUGAUGCAGCGACGCCGCGUGAGUGAAGAAGUAUCUCGGUAUGUAAAGCUCUAUCAGCAGGGAAGAAAAUGACGGUACCUGACUAAGAAGCCCCGGCUAACUACGUGCCAGCAGCCGCGGUAAUACGUAGGGGGCAAGCGUUAUCCGGAAUUACUGGGUGUAAAGGGUGCGUAGGUGGUAUGGCAAGUCAGAAGUGAAAACCCAGGGCUUAACUCUGGGACUGCUUUUGAAACUGUCAGACUGGAGUGCAGGAGAGGUAAGCGGAAUUCCUAGUGUAGCGGUGAAAUGCGUAGAUAUUAGGAGGAACAUCAGUGGCGAAGGCGGCUUACUGGACUGAAACUGACACUGAGGCACGAAA